CAUCGCACCCCUCCUCCCCCCAUCUCCUCGCCGCCGCCAUCGACGGCGCUCCCCUCGAUCCCUCCCACCGCCGUCUCCCUCCCUCAGAUCGAGCUCCCCCUCCCCUCUCCCUCCCACCUCUCGAAGCUCCCGCGUCCCACCGCCGCACACCGUGCUCCUCUGCAGCUUCUGCGGCGAUGCAGCCGCCGCUGACUACUCUCCUUCCUCCUUCCUCCAGCACUACUCUCCAACCUCGCCUCUCGCUUCGCCGCCCCGCGCCCCGCGCUCGUCAGGGCCCCGUAGCGCCGCUCAGUCCCUCACGCUCGGGCCCAACGAGGUCGUGCACACGCUCACCAGCACACCCGUCUUCACCUUCUGCAACUCCAGCAACGCGUUCGUGCUCGUCUCCGACCCCGCCACUGGUCUCCACUCCCUCGGCCUCCUCUGCUUCCGCUCCGAGGACACCGACGCCCUCCUCUUCGUCCGAGUUCGCCGGAACCACGACGGCUGGCGCGCCCGUGCGCGAGGAGACGACGACCCCGAUAAGCCAUGCAGGGCCAGUAAGAAGGUCGCCGCCCCAGCACCUGCAGCAGCAGUACCCCCAAGGGACGAGACCACCGGCGCCCACCAGGAUCUCCGCCGCUGCAUCUUGGUAACGAUCGCGUGAGAAAGCACCGCAUGUGGGCGGCUGCAUCUGAGGCUGAGGAAUUUGGUUCGGGGUGAGCGGGGGAUGGCUCAAGCCUAGAAGGGAUCUGAUGCGCCACUGUAGACAUACGAACACAGGAGGGGGUCCAAAUUUGCCGUUUGCCAGAUUCGCGCUCAUGCCAUAGGUUGCCGGCGAAGUACCUCAGCCUGUUCAGGCAUCUUUCGUACAUUGAGCAACAAUGGCGAAUUCGAGUGGAUGAUGGAAGGCCUCAGUUUGGGGCCAAGAAAAGGCGUGGACGAGGCCAUUUCUGCAAGGCCGCCUGCAAAUUGCUGGGUGCAACAUCAAUGUAGCUCUGAUCCAGAACCUGGUUCUUGGAUGCAACACGCAUUGUCCUGGACUGGAUCUAAUUUUGUUGAGGUGACUGCUGUUGUGACCAUGAUCAGAAGAAGCCUGGAGAUGUGCACAAUAGUUUUAGUUGAUGUUGCCACCAUGUUUUGGUGCAUGUGUAUUUCUUUUUGAUUGUAUAAACACUUGAUGGAUUGUGCAGACGUGUAUGUGCUGUUGUGAGUUUCAUUGAGUGAUUUUUGGAUUUGAUCAUUUAAUUGUGAGAAUUAUUGAUUGUUUGCUGUUGAAAUGUGUAAAAGAAAUCUGUGAAUGAAAAGGUUGAAUGUUCUAUUGGAUCGAA